rnacentral:rRNA from 1 species
UACAGAGGUCUCAAGCGUUGUUCGGAUUCAUUGGGCGCAAAGGGUGUGUAGGUGGCGCCGUUAGUCGGGUGUGAAAUUUCGGAGCUUAACUCCGAAACUGCAUUCGAUACUGCGGUGCUUGAGGACUGGAGAGGAGACUGGAAUUCAUGGUGUAGCAGUGAAAUGCGUAGAGAUCAUGAGGAAGACCAGUGGCGAAGGCGGGUCUCUGGGCAACAACUGACGCUGAGGAGCGAAAGCGUGGGGAGCGAACAGG